rnacentral:rRNA from 1 species
UUUAUUGAGAGUUUGAUCCUGGCUCAGGACGAACGCUGGCGGCGUGCCUAACACAUGCAAGUCGAGCGAUGAAGUUUCCUUCGGGAAACGGAUUAGCGGCGGACGGGUGAGUAACACGUGGGUAACCUGCCUUAUAGUGGGGGAUAGCCUUUCGAAAGGAAGAUUAAUACCGCAUAAGAUUGUAGUAUCGCAUGAUAUAGCAAUUAAAGGAGCAAUU